AAAAAGUUUGAUUCUUGCUUGAUUAAGUUGCUUUCUAUUGAUUGAACAUGUAAAUUUUUUUGUGUUAUUUAUUUUCUAAAUGAAAUCUAAAGAAAUAUUUUCAGUUCUAAGUAUUAAAUUUUUCAGAGUUAUCUGGAAUUAGUUAAUUGAGUUAGUUAGACUAAACAUUGUGCCAGCAGUCGCGGUUAUACAAUGUGAGGCGAGCAACUUUUUUUUGGUUUAGUUAUUUAAUUUUAUUUUUAUAAUUUAUUAUAUUUUCUUGAAGGUGAAAUUUAGGAAUUUAGUAAUUUUAUGGUUUAUGAUUAAUAAGAAAGUCUUUACUGAGAAUGGGAUUAGAUACCCCAUUAUUAUAGAUAGUAAAUUUAACCUUAGUAUUAAUAGAUAUGAUCUUUAAAUUAAAAGAAUUUGGCGGUAAUUUAGUCUUUCCAGAGGAACCUGCCCUGUAAUUGAUAAUCCACGAUAAAUUUUACUUUACUCAGGCUUGUAUAUCUCUGUCAUUGAAUGUUUUAGGAGGAUAUUUUCUAUAAUUUUUAUGAAAUUAAUGUCAGGUCAAGGUGCAGCAAUGGUAAAGAAGAGGUGGGUUACAUUAUAAUUAUAUAUGGAUUAAAAUAUGGAAAUUUAUUUGAAAUUGGAUUUGGUAGUAAUUUUUAUUAUAAUAUAAAUUUGAUUUAGCUCUAAAUUAUGUACAUAUCGCCCGUCAUUCUCAUUUUUAAAUGAGACAAGUCGUAACAAAGUAGGCCUACCGGAAGGUGGGCCUGGAUUUAUU
rnacentral:ncRNA from 1 species